rnacentral:tRNA from 1 species
UGGGAUAUCGCCAAGCGGUAAGGCACCGGUUUUUGAUACCGGCAUUCUUUGGUUCGAAUCCCUGCACCCCAGCCA